rnacentral:tRNA from 1 species
GCCCUGGUAGCUUAAGUUAAAGCACUGGUCUUGUAAGCCAGAGACUGCAGCUUAACCCCUGCCCAAGGCU